AUUUCCGCUAGUGUUCAUUCUAAAAAAUAAUCAAGAAUAAAUACAGUCUAUGAGAUGUCAGUUAUCCAUACAUGUCUAUAUGCUCACUGUAACAAGUCAGUUCAUCAGAUUAUUUGAUUCAUGACGGGUGUGAUCAAAAAAUAAUAAGUCUGCCAAAUUUUUUAGUCCUCUCGGAAAAUAGAUCGAAAAGUAACUCAUCAAAACAACCAGCACCAAAAUGCCAAAAUUUUUAGCCCAAUUCUUUUUUCAUGGAUUUUCCCUGGUUCUCCUGAACCUCGUAUUGCUACAGUCUCGUGGAAUAUUGUAGUACAGCUCUAUCUCUUUGAUAAAAUAAUGGAUAUUUUAUUUUAUUAAAUAUUACUAUUCCUGUUUCUGUACCACGAUUUUCAAUAUUCUAUGUACUACGUCUACACCUUACCGACUGGCCUGGACUGGAUCAUAAGUUUUGGAUUAGAAGUAUUGAUAAAAAUUCUUUCAUUCAAAUUUCAACCAUAGCAGUCUAUGAGAUGUCAGUUAUCCAUACAUGUCUAUAUGCUCUCUGUAACCAGUCAGUUCAUCAGAAUAUUUUAUUCAUGACGGGUGUGAUCAAAAAAGAAUAAGUCUGCCAAAUUUUUCAGUCCUCUCGGAAAAUAGAUCGAAAAGUAACUCAUCAAAACAACUAGCACCAAAAUGCCAAGAUUUUUAGCCCAAUUCUUUUUUCAUGGAUUUUCCCUGGUUCUCCUGAACCUCGUAUUGCUGCAGACUCGUGGACUGUUUUAGUACCCCUUUAUCCCUUUGACAAAAUUAUGGAUAUGUUAUUUUAUUAAAUAUUACUAUUCCGGUUUCUGUGCCACGAUUGUCAAUAUUCUAUAUGCUGCGUCUACUCCAUACCAACUGGCCUGGACUGGAACAUAGAAUAUGGAUUAUAGGUUGGACCGUUUCAAAAUUUUCGGCAUUUUUCAUUACUUGGUUA